AAAAAAUGAUAAGAAAAGACAAAAUUUCAUGCAAAUAUUAACACCAAAGUCCAACCCCAAACAUAUUUCCAGCCAAAAACAUGAAAAAUGGUAAAUUAAUUUCACUAGACCCAGCAGGGGUACAACAGUAAUUGCAUCCCCACCCCCCUCAGUUGAAACCCCCGCUUAAUUUCUCCCUCUCACUCCCCCACUCCACACUCCAAAAAGUAGCCUAAAAAAAAGAAAGAAAAAAACUCGUUCCGAAAGAGAGCGCGAUUCAGUUACGAACCAUGUCGCCGCAGAAGCAACGGCGGACCUUCCCGUCGAUCUCGGCUUGCAACGCGAGCGAAACAGCAUCGUACAAGUCGAUCGCGGCGGACCUGGAAGGGACGCUGCUCAUCUCCCGGAGCUCAUUCCCUUCAUGCUGGUGGCCAUCGAAGCCUGCAGCCUCCUCCGCGGCCUCGUCCUCCUCCUAUCCUUCCCCCUCGUCAUCGUCUCCUACUUCUUCUCCGAAGCCCUCGGCAUCAAGAUUCUUAUCUUCAUUUCCUUCUCCGGCCUCAAAAUCCGCGACAUCGAGCUCACCUCUCGCGCCGUCCUCCCCAGGUUCCAUGCGGCGGAUGUGAGGGCGGAGAGCUUCGAGGUGUUUGACAAGUGCAAGAGGAAGGUGGUGGUGAUGGCGAAUCCGGCAGUGAUGGUGGAGCCGUUCGCGAAGGAUUUUCUGGGCGGGGACAUGGUGCUGGGGACGGAGAUCGAAGUGAAUACGAAGACGAAGAAGGCGACCGGGUUUGUGAAGUUUUGGUGGGGAAAUUGAAGCGUUUGGCGGUUCUGAAGGAGUUCGGCGACGAAGCGCCGGAUCUCGGGAUCGGUGAUCGGAGCUCCGAUCAUGACUACAUGUCACUUUGCAAGCUUUUCUAUUUUGAAAACAUGAUCUAUUAGAGGAUGCAGGAAGAUGAACGGUUUGGAUUGUUGAUAUUAUGUUUAGAGUUUUAUGAUUAGUAAAAAUAUUGCUUGAUGUUUAUAAAGUUUCUACAAACUAUAUGACAUUGACUCAUGUUUCAGUUAACCGUAAAUAUUGAAACAUGAUAUCAAAAAUCUGAACCGUUUAUCUUCUUACAUCCGCUAGAUGAUCAUGUUUUCAAAAAAGAAAAUUUAAAAAAUGAAAUUCAAUAAGAAGAAUAAAACGUAAAUGACAAUCGACGGUUAAAUAUAAAUUUAAGGUUUAUGGAUUAUAGUGUUGGAU